CUGAACCGAAGCCCACUGAAGUCCUUGGGAGUCUUUCAUUGGCUUCACUGGGCUAUGGAUCAGGAAAAAGAGAAGAUCUGAGACUAUUUCACUAGUGGCACCAGAAAGCAGCCAGUCAAACAGCAAACCAAAGGUCCCUUCUGGCUUUAAAAUCUAUGCAUCUAUGACCGCAAGAGGUGCCUGGGGAUCAAGACCGCCCUGCCUUUCCCAGGCUGUUACAUGGGAGGUAUUCCCUGUUUACCUGCAUUACUGCACACUCUGUGCUACAGCCUGAGACCCAGCAGAGAAGAUGGGAGACAAACUUGUCCUCGCAGACAUUCAAAGUUGGGUGCUGCAGGGAUGCAUCAGUGAGAUGAGGAAGAGGAGAGUCAUAGAUCAAACUGGAACAGCAGAAUAAUGAGGCUUAAAGUCAGUGACCUGGGAAGUGCGGAGGGCGGACGUCUCGACUUAUCCUUCAACUAGCUCAAGUGAUAGACAAGGGAGAUGCUUCGGAUCUUAGCGCUACCCCUUACGCUGCUUGGCCAAUAAAUUAAAC